CUACUAGUGGUCAGUGGUAGAGUGCAUACUUUGUAUGUAUGAUGUCCUGGGUUCAAUCCGCAGCUUCUCCC
rnacentral:tRNA from 1 species